GCAGAAGGGGUCCUGGUGACGAGUGCCGCGUUCGCUCCCUGAGUCCACUCGCCAGCCCGCCGCCCUCUGCCGCCGCACCCUGCACACCCGCCCCUCUUCUGUGCCAGGAACUUGCUACCACCAGCACCAUGCCCUACCAAUAUCCAGCGCUGACCCCGGAGCAGAAGAAGGAGCUGUCUGACGUCGCUCACCGCAUCGUGGCACCCGGCAAGGGCAUCCUGGCUGCAGAUGAGUCCACUGGGAGCAUUGUCAAAGAGGCUGCAGUCCAUUGGCACCGAGAACACCGAGGAGAACCGGCGCUUCUACCGCCAGCUGCUGCUGACAGCUGACGACCGUGUGAACCCCUGCAUUGGGGGUGUCAUCCUCUUCCACGAGACACUCUACCAGAAGGCGGAUAAUGGUCGUCCCUUCCCCCAAGUUAUAAAAUCCAAGGGCGGUGUUGUGGGCAUCAAGGUAGACAAGGGCGUGGUUCCCCUGGCAGGGACAAAUGGCGAGACUACCACCCAAGGGUUGGAUGGGCUGUCUGAGCGCUGUGCCCAGUACAAGAAGGAUGGAGCUGACUUCGCCAAGUGGCGUUGUGUGCUGAAAAUUGGGGAACACACCCCCUCAGCCCUCGCCAUCAUGGAAAAUGCCAAUGUCCUGGCCCGUUAUGCCAGCAUCUGCCAGCAGAAUGGCAUUGUGCCCAUCGUGGAGCCUGAGAUCCUCCCUGAUGGGGACCAUGACUUGAAGCGCUGCCAGUAUGUGACCAAGAAGGUGCUGGCUGCUGUCUACAAGGCUCUGAGCGACCACCACAUCUACCUGGAAGGCACCUUGCUGAAGCCCAAUAUGGUCACCCCAGGCCACGCUUGCACCCAGAAGUUUUCUCAUGAGGAGAUUGCCAUGGCGACCGUCACAGCGCUGCGCCGCACAGUUCCCCCGGCUGUCACUGGGAUCACCUUCCUGUCUGGAGGCCAGAGUGAGGAGGAGGCAUCCAUCAACCUCAAUGCCAUUAACAAGUGCCCCCUGCUGAAGCCCUGGGCCCUGACCUUCUCUUAUGGCCGAGCCCUGCAGGCCUCUGCCCUGAAGGCCUGGGGUGGGAAGAAGGAGAACCUGAAGGCUGCACAGGAGGAGUACGUCAAGCGAGCCCUGGCCAACAGCCUUGCCUGUCAAGGAAAGUACACCCCGAGCGGUCAUGCCGGAGCUGCUGCUAGCGAGUCCCUCUUCGUCUCUAACCACGCCUAUUAAGCGGAGGUGUUCCCAGGCUGCCCCCAACACUCCAGGCCCCGCCCCCUCCCACUCUUGAAGAGGGGGCCUCCUCCUCGGGGCUCCAGACUGGCUUGCCCGCGCUCUUGCCUCCCUCGUGACAGUGGUGUAUGGUGUCGUCUGUGAAUGCUGAGUCCAUCACCCUUUCCAGAACACUGCCAAAUAAACAGCUAUUUAAGGGGGG